GCCACAUGGACUCUGUUACAAACUACUCAGCUUUGCUAUUGUUGUGUGAAAUCAGCUGAAGACUGUAUGUAAACAAAUGAGCAUAUCCGUUUUCCAUAAAGCUUUUUUUUUUUUUGAAUGGAGUCUCACUCUGUUGCCCAGGCUAGAGUGCAGUGGCGUGAUCUGGGGCUCACUGCAACCUGCACCCGCUGGUCAGGAAGCUGAAGCAAGAGAAUUGCUUGAACCCGGGAGGCGGAGGUUGCAGUGAGCCGAGAUGGCGCCAUUGCACUCUAUCCCGGGCGACAAGAGUGAAACUCCAUCUCCAAAACAAAACAAAACAAAACAACAGGUAGGAUGUGGGUAGGAUUUGGCCUGUGGGCCAUUGUUUGCCAUUGCCUGCUUUGGUGUAUGUGCUUUGGUUUCUUCUGUACUAUUACUUAAGAAUGGAUUUUAUUUUUACAAUUACAUACACUUCAUGUUUAUUGAAGUGUAUGUAAAAUGUUUCAAUAAAAUGUAUGUUUCUUGUAAAAUAAAUACUCACACGAUGAAAUCUGAGUAAUCUCCA
rnacentral:lncRNA from 10 species